rnacentral:rRNA from 1 species
AUACGUAGGGUGCAAGCGUUGUCCGGAAUUAUUGGGCGUAAAGAGCUCGUAGGCGGUUUGUCGCGUCGACUGUGAAAACCCGAGGCUUAACCUCGGGCCUGCAGUCGAUACGGGCAGACUAGAGUUCGGUAGGGGAGACUGGAAUUCCUGGUGUAGCGGUGAAAUGCGCAGAUAUCAGGAGGAACACCGGUGGCGAAGGCGGGUCUCUGGGCCGAUACUGACGCUGAGGAGCGAAAGCGUGGGGAGCAAACAGGA